rnacentral:lncRNA from 1 species
CAGGGACCGAACCCGCAUCCUCAUGGAUACUAGUUGGGUUCAUAACCCACUGAGCCACAACGGGAGCGCCCAUAAUCUGCAUGUUCUUAAUCCAUGAUGCCAGCUCGGCUUCUCACCACAUCUGGCACCUUGCCUUGGCAGAUGGCUGGGUUAGCAUUACAGAUAAUAUUCCUCCCAACUCUUUCUCCACCCUUAACUUCGACUUAACAUUUUUAGCUGACAACGCUCUACAUUGAUCCUAGGCAGUUUACAAAGGACAAUAUAUUAAAUAUCACAAAAUGUGUCUCAUACAUGUAACACGUAUGGGGCAUUUGUUACAUGUCGGACACUGCUCAAAAUGCUUUCAGGAACUCUUUUAAUUUUCACAACCACCCUAGGGUGUGGGCCCUAUUGUUCCCAUAUAUGCAGAACUGGAGCGAAUGUGGCUUCAAAGUCAGUUAAAACAUCAAAGUUUGGAACAAAAUUUGUUCCAAAUCAAACACAAACAGACAUGUAGAAGCAGAAAACAGAACAGCAGUUCCCAGAGCAGAAGGGAUGGGGGAGGGUCAAAUGCAUCAAGGCAUCAACUAUUUGGUAACGAACAGGAACUAAAUUUGUAGUGGGGAGCAUGCUGUCGGGUAGACAGAAGUAGAAAUAUGAAGUUUUAUAAAUGAAACUUAUGCCAUGCUCUAAAUCAUGUUACUGCAAUACAAAUAAAAAGCAAAUGUUCCAAACAGGAUGAGGUACCCCAGAAAACUAAAUACGGAACUACCCAUAUGACCCAGCAACCCCACUCCUGGGCAUAUAUCUGGAUAAAACUUUCCUUGAAAAAGAUACAUGCACCCAUAUGUUCAUUGCAGCACUAUUCGCAAUAGCCAAGACAUGGAAACAACCUAAAUGCCCAUCGACAGAUGAAUGGAUUAAGAAGAUGUGGUAUACACACACACNNNNNNNNNNNNNNNNNNNNNNNNNNNACACACACACACACACACACACACACACACAGAAUGGAAUACUACUCAGCCAGAAAAAAGAGCAAAAUAAUGCCACUUGCAGCAACAUGGAUGGAACCAGAGACUUUCACACUGAGUGAAGUAAGUCAGAAAGAAAAAGACAAAUACCACAUGAUAUCACUUAUAUCUGGAAUCUAAUAUAUGGCACACAUGAACCUUUCCGCAGAAAAGAAACUCAUGGACUUGAAGAACAGACUUGUGGUUGCCAAGCAGGGAGAGAGAGGGAGUGAGAUGGACCAGAAGUUUGGGUUAAUGGAUGCAAAGUAUUGUAUUUGGAGUGGAUCCAACAAUGAGAUCCUGCUGUAUAGCACAGGGAACUCUAUCUAGUCACCUAUGAUGGAACAUGAUGGAGGAUAAUGUGACAAAAAGAAGGUAUAUGUAUAUAUGUGGCUGUGUCACUUUGCUGUACAGUAGAAAUUGACAGAGCACUGUAAGCUAACUGUAAUGGAAAAAAUAAAAAUCAUUAUAAAAAUUUCAUUUUAUUUCAUUUUAUUUUUUGUCUUAUUUGUCUUUUUAGAGCUUCACCCGAGGCAUACGGAGGUUCCCAGGCUAGGAGUCGAAUCAGAGCUGUUGCUACCGGCCUCCACCAGAGCCACAGCAACGCAUUAAAAAAAUUUUAAAAAGCAAAUGUUCCAAAACAACUUUGAGUUAACAAAUAAUGAAUGAAACUUUCAACAGUUGUUAAACGUACGCCCCUGUGACGUGCUUAAAUAUUUCAAAUUCAACAUUCACUUCAUCACGUUAUUUUUCAACCACAAAAGUGACCGAAUUGUGGAGCUCACGCAGUGGCCCAGCAGGUUAAGGACCAGACAUUGUCUCGGUGAGGAUGCAGGUUCCUCAGUGGGGAAGGAUCCGGCGUUGCCGUGAGCGGUGGUGUGGGUUGCAGACUCGGCUCGGAUCCCGCGUUGCUGUGGCUCUGGGGUAGGCCGGCGGCUGGAGCUCUGAUUCGACCCCCACCCCAGCAACACGGGAUCCGAGGCACAUCUGCGACCUACACCACAGCUCACGACGAUGCCAGAUCCCCAACCCACUGAGCGAGGCCAGGGAUCAAACCCACAGCCUCAUGGAUACUAGUCGGAUUCGCUUCCACUGCGCCGCAGCGGGAACUCCCGCUUUCUGCUCUUCAGCACAACUCCCUCUGCGAGUGGACUGGUUUGCUCAGUCCCUCUGCCUUGAGACCGCCGCAGUUUCCCCAGGUUGGCUGCCCCGCUAAAGGCGCUUAGGGUGAUCCGUGCAGACUCACCUGGCCUUGCCUCCUAAGCCAACAUCCCCCGAAGCCAAGCGCGCUGCCCUUCGGUGAGCGGCUGAGUGCCCCCCACCCCCAGGGUGGGAACCUGCUGCCGCCUGGAGUCUUCAAGAAUCUUAGAAUUACCAUCGGCACCCACGAUGCCACUCCCAGGCAUUUACCCCAGAGGACUGAAGACACGUUCACACGAGAGCUUGUACACGAAUGUUCACAGCAGUCUUAUUCCUCACAGCCAACAGGUGGAAAUAGCUCAACUAUCCGCAAACUGGUGAAGGAAUAAACAGAAUGUGGGCUACCUGUUCCAUGGGCUUUUCUCCCAUCACAAAAAGGAAUACAGUACUGAUACACCCUGCAACACGGACGAACCUGGCAAGCGCCCUCCGUGGAAGAAACCGGGCACAGAAGGACCUAUUG